AUGGAAGGUCAUAGUAGAGUUAAGUUUUUUUAUCGGCAAUUGUGUGCCAAAGAAAUUGCUCCAAAACGGAUGCGUGAACUUGAGGAGGAGGUUCCUGUUCUAUUAUGCAAGCUUGAGAAAAUAUUCCCACCAGGCUUCUUCAAUGUAAUGCAACACCUGAUAGUGUGUCUUCCAUAUGAGGCAAGGGUUGGUGGCCCUAUGGCAUAUCGUUGGAUGUAUGUUUUUGAGAGGGCAAUGCACUAUCUUCAUUUAAAAGUGCGAAAUAAGGCAAGAGUGGAGGGUUCAAUCGUUGAAGCUUGUAUUGUGCAGGAGAUCACGAAUUGUGUUUCUCUUUACUUUAGUGAUCAUGUCGCACUAUAUGGAAGAAGAAUCCUCGAUAUAAUAAUGGAGGAACACACGUGCAGAAUGAUGGUUGCACCUUAG
rnacentral:rRNA from 1 species